GGGUAAGUAGCAUAAAUUAUAGUGUAUACGAUUUCGGCUCGUGCGGUGAUAUUCAAUUUAUCUUUAUCUU
rnacentral:tRNA from 1 species